CGUCGUUUUAAAUAGAUGGUGAGGGUAUGGCUCACCAAGGCUACGAUGGGUAGGGGUUCUUAGUGGAAGGUCCCCCACACUGGCACUGAGAUACGGGCCAGACUCCUACGGGAGGCAGCAGUAGGGAAUAUUGGUCAAUGGGCGCAAGCCUGAACCAGCCAUGCCGCGUGCAGGAUGAAGGCUCUCUGAGUUGUAAACUGCUUUUGUACAGGAGCAAAAAAAUCCCUGCGGGGGUUCUUGAGAGUACUGUAAGAAUAAGCACCGGCUAAUUCCGUGCCAGCAGCCGCGGUAAUACGGGAGGUGCAAGCGUUAUCCGGUUUUAUUGGGUUUAAAGGGUGCGUAGGCGGCUUAUUAAGUCAGUUGUGAAAUCCUAGUGCUUAACGCUAGGACUGCGAUUGAUACUAUU
rnacentral:rRNA from 1 species